AAUUUAUAAAUAUCGGCCUUAACUGUUGCGCGAGGCCAACCUUUAUAAGUAGGAUUAAAAACUCUUCUAAUAUAAUGAACCCAAUUAAGAUUAGAAGCAAAAUUAUAAGGCAAGCACAUCACAGAAUUAUUUUUGCUAAUUCUUCACGAUCCCUAUUUGGAUCGUAAUAUAAAAUACCUUCAGUGACAGUGUUAAUUCCUGGUUGAACUAGAUUUGAACCAGUACUAGGGUUAACUUGAGAAUCUACACUUGUCCCCCCAACCUUUAUAAGUAGGAUUAAAAACUCUUCUAAUAUAAUGAACCCAAUUAAGAUUAGAAGCAAAAUUAUAAGGCAAGCACAUCACAGAAUUAUUUUUGCUAAUUCUUCACGAUCCCUAUUUGGAUCGUAAUAUAAAAUACCUUCAGUGACAGUGUUAAUUCCUGGUUGAACUAGAUUUGAACCUGUACUUGGGUUAACUUGAGAGUCUACACGUGUCCCCUCUUGCUGCGCUUGCAUUUGAAAAAAUCUUGCCCUAUCUCUAGGGUGUAAUUUUAUGUGUCUAACCAAACUACCUGUGCCGCUACAGUCUCCAGUAAAUUCAUGAACAAGUAAUUUCCC
rnacentral:lncRNA from 1 species